AUUAAAUUAGAAAUUUUAAAUAAGAAUUUUAAUCUUUUGUCUUAGUAUCAAAAAUUUUAAAGACAUUUCACAUGAUACAGUAAGCUGUAAAUUAAUUCCCAGUAUAAUGAAAUGCAGCUUUUACAACCAGCAAGAUAAAGGAUUAUAAUAAAUCAUUUUAGGAAGAUCCACAUGUACUUGGAUCUUUAUAAUAGUGCUUAUAUUCACUGUUCUGUUGUUUAUUGCUUGAGCCAGUCUUACCUAGUGGACAAAAUUGAUUGCCACAUGAAGAGAAAUGUUAAUGUAGAUACUGUCAUUCAUAGGUUAAAAUUAUAUCACCUGUAAGCUAUACAUAGUAGAUAAGUAGAUACUAUUGUAUUGCUUUAAACUUUUAUUUCAUGAAAAAGGUUUACUAGUGUUUCUCAAGAACCAAAGCAGUGGAUACUUGUUAUUUUAUUGUAGCAUUUUGAAAUAACUUUUGAGUCCUAAAAAUCUGAUCAAAUAGUUACUAGGUUGGAUUGUAUUUAGUAUUCUGAUAACUUUAAAAAAUUAAACUGAGAUUCCACAGAAAUGAAAGCUGUACUAUAGCUAAUCACAAGGUUUUUUGAACUCAGAACAAGGCAUUUAGUCUAGAUUAUGUGAAAUAGGUAAAUUUAAAUACAAUUCUUAUUUAUUUAUUUAUUUAUUUUUUGUUUUUUGAGGCAGGGUCUCCCUUUGUAGUUCAGGCUGGCCCUGAACUCACUAUGUAGUCCAGGCUGGCUUCGAACUCGCAGUGAUCCUCCUGCCUCAGCCCCCCAAGUGCUGGGAUUACAGAUGUGCAUCACCACACCCGGUUACAAUUUUUAAAGUUUGGUCUACUAUUCAUUUUCUUUCUUUCUUUUUUUUGAGACAGGGUGUUGCUAUGUAGUUCAGGUGGGCCUUGAACUUACUAUGUAGCCCAUGCUGCUCUUGAACUCUUGAUGAUGCUCCUGCCUCAGCCUUCGGAAUACUGGGCUUACAGGCGUGUACCUCUAUGUCUGACUAGCUUCUGUUUUAAUCAGAGAUGUGUGAUAGAGUAGAAUUUAACUAAUUCAGCAAUCAGGAGAUAGCUUCUAAUGUAAACAAGCUCUGCAGUCUUGACAUUUUAUUAUGUACACCUUCAUCUUCAAGUUUGUACGGCUGAUUUUUAAGUUUAUAAUCUCUUAGAGUCCCUCUUAGCUCUUAAAUUGUUGGAUAUAAAUGGUAAGUAUCAAAUUAUCUUAUAUAGACUUUGUAAUUUUUACAUGGCAAAUCAUGUGUUAUUUCUGUGGUGAAACUACUGGAAUAAUAUAAGACCUGAGAUAAUAGUUAGUUGAUUUUGUUACUGAUUUUUAGGUAUUCCAGAAUAGUAUUAAAUAAUAUAAAUACCUACAAAAAAGUAAUUGGAGUGUGAGAUUGGUUUUAUUUUUUUGGUACCAGGGAUUGAACUCUGGUCCUUGCACAUGCACAGCAGGCAGUGAAACCACUGAGCUAAAUCCCCGGCCCGUGAGAUUGUUUUUAAACAGUGAAGAUUUAGAAUAUUGCAAUAAAAACAAUUAUUGAUUUUUCUAAUUUAUUAAAUAUAUCUAACGUAAAGUCAAGUGUAUAUUUUUGUAAUGUUUGCAACUGGCCAAGAUUAUAAACAAGAGGAUUUGUAGUUUGCAUGUCUGAUACACUCUAUUGAAUUCCCUUUAAGAAAUUUCUAUCCUUCAGAGAUUUUAGCAUUUUAGCAGCUACCGUCCCCUUCCAGAUUGAAUGCAAAUUUUUCUUUUCAUUUUUCUUAGUUUCAUUAAGACAUUGUCUUGCUGUGUAAUUCAGGCUGGCCUUGAACUCACGCCAGCACAGGCUGGCCUACAACUGUUGGGAUCCUCCUGCCUCAGCCUCCCCAGUGCUGGGAUUACAGGCAUGUCCCACCAUGCCCAGCUAAAUGUAAACUUUUAUUUUCAAAUUGCCUAUGUCUAAAAGUAGUUGGCCUGUGUAAUUCAAACUGAAUUAUAUUUUGAAUCUCAUAUUAUCAAUACAAUAUGGGCUUAUAUAACAUUUAAGUAUCAUUAAAAUCUGAUAAAUUGUGAUUUAUAUUAUAUAAUACUCAGUGGGUCUCUUAUUUCAAAAAAAUCUCCUUUACCUUUUGGAACUUAAUUAUUUGAAAUUGAGUAUUCCUAUAUAAGCAACUAAAUCUUGAGUAUGUACUGUGCAGUAGUCAUAAUUCUAAUUUAGAUUAUCAUGCUAGAGUUUUUUCUAACUAAUGGUUUAAAAGCACAGUUUUCUUAGAAAUGUUAAUGACUGUCAUGACAUAUAAUCCCCCACUUUUGUACAAGGUUCCUUAUAUUUUACAGAGCUCUCAAAUUUCCCUUUUUUUUCUUCUUCAGUACUGGGGAUUGAGCCUAGGGCCUUUGCACUGAGCUUUGUCCCCAACUCUUUCAUUUAUUCCUUUUUUCUUUUCUUUUUUUUGUACCAGGGAUCAAACCUGGGGACCUUGUGCUUGUGAAGCAGGUGGCAGAACCACUAAUUUAUUACUUUUUAAAAAAGGUUUUUGCUAAGUUGCUCAACUGACUGGGUUGGAACUCGGAACCCUCCUGCCUCAGUCUCCCAGAGUGGCAUGGGCAGCUACACUUGGCUUAAAAUUAAAUUUUUAAAGUUCUAAAAGAAUUUAAAAAAUGAAGUGAUUAAAGCUGUCUUUGCCUUUUAUUGUUAAGUCAGCAAUCAAAAUGGUUGUUUACAUUUUACCUGUAAUUUUAUUAAAUCACAAAUCAUAUUUUUGCAAAAUACGUAGGAUAGGUAGAAAUGUAAGCAGACUCAUUGAUUUUCAUAGUCUCUAUAAGCUAAACUCUGUUUUCUCAUUCCCAGUUUCAAAAUGUGGCCAAAUGCUAUUCCAGACUUGGUCAGAUUUGGGAAAGGAGAGGAGAGGGUACAGUAGAUUGCUAUUAGAAGUAUUGUUGGUGGUGCAGAGUAAGGUCCAAGCCUUCUGUUUGGGCUGUGAGAACUGGUACUGGUGGAUAACAGAAGCACGCCAGACCAGUGCUAGGGAGUUCCUGGACAUUUCUUUUGUGUACCCUUUAAUAGCUCAGCUGGUAGAGCGGCUGACUGCAGACCACACAGACAUUUCUUUUACCCAGAUUACUUACCUCAGUGCUGCCCUUCUACAGAUUAAAUCAAUUUAUUUUCCUUAGUUGGUUUAAGACUUAUCUGUCCACCGUAUCUCUUCCCUGUAAGGUCAGAUUAAAUUUGGAAGUUAUAAAAAGUGUUUCUCGUAAGUUCCUUUAUUUUUUAGCUGGGAAGAUACUUCAGUACAUAUUGUCCAGGUAAUUUUAAAGCAGAUCUCUGUUUCCUGAUGAUGAUUUGUCAAAAUGGGUGAAUAAAUUUAGCUUUUGUAAGAUAAACAGGGUCUUGUUCUUUAAUCUGAAAGCUGGUCUUGACAAAAGCAUUUUCAUAGCUUAACAUUAAGUUAAAUCCUAAAGUUAAGCUGUGGUCUUUUGCCUUCUGAAAAUUUAUUCAUCUGGAACUUUUAGACAGCAAAAACUUUGGUAUUUUUACUUUUUUUUCCCCUAACCUAGCUAGUCUCACUCAUGCUAGACAAGCACUCUACCACGGAGCUACAUUCCCAACCCUCUUGCUAUGCAUUAUCGUAUUGUUGUAAAUGUACUUAAGAGUAGUGACUAAAAAAAGUGUAUGGAUAGAUUGAGGUGGUGUUUAAGAUACAGAAUACACUUUCUCAUGUUUAGUGGGUAUUUGAGUCCAGUGUAUAGAUUGAAUAGGUGUAUUACUAAAGUACUCAUUUCAGAGAGCACUUGUAUUACCUUAGUUGAAUAGAUCAGUACAAUUAAUAGUAGUUUUGUUUUUUUUGGUAACGGGGAUCGAACUUGGGACCUUGUGCUUUUGAGGCAGGCGCCAGAACUACUGCGCUAAAUCCCCGGCCCAAUUAAUAGUAGUUUUAAAUGAUGCACAGUGUUUCCUUUCAAGUACUUUACCUUAGCAAUAUUGAUUAUGUGAUUAAAUAAAUGUUAUGUUGAUUAUAGUGCAUGGUAAUGUGAGGUAAUAUGGUAAUACUGAAGGAGUGACGUCUUAGGGGAGAAUAAAAACUUCCUUUUAGGAGGCUUGAAACUGGAUUAGAUGAAAGACAGAACAUGAAAUAAAAUUCUGUACUGUUAGAAGUGAUGUUGGCUUUUUUUUUCACAAAUGUGGUUGCUCAUCACUUCUACCCAGGGAGCCCAAGUAUUUAUGCGCUUACUCCUUUGGAGUUCCUGGGGACAAAGACGUAUCAUUUUCUUAGUAACUUACUCUAGACGUGAGCCUCCUGCCCUGCCAAAUUUAAGAUCCUUUCAGGGCUUUUUGGUCUUUUCCUUUGUUCAUAUAUUGUUCCUAAAUACAUCUCUUGGUCUGUUGAGUGAUCCUUACAAGAUGUUGAAAUUUUAGCAUAAAUAAUGGUAUUUAAUCUAUUUUUUUGUUAUUUCUUAGGCAUAAAAUUAUAUCCUUUUUGUCUUACACAGAAGUGCAAAUCCUCAUACUGAUAAUCUGAAGGGCCUGUACAGUGUAGCAGACCUUGGAAACAGUAAGUAUUGCCCAAUUUACACAUUUUUGUAAAUGUGCCUGGAAAUUUUGAGUUGGAAUUGUGAAAACGUAGAGGGAGUAGUAAAGCUUAGAACAGUACAGGGACAUCAGCCUCCUUAGGUACGUGUGCAAUCAAAGUUUACUUAUUAAUUUACUUUGUCUAUUUCUGUUUGCUUCACUUAAACUCAGGCAGAAUUAAAAUGCAAACAAACCCACACUAAGGCAUGCUUCUAACAUUCUUUAGAUCUGGGUGUUGGAAACUUUCCCCCUUGUUUUUACAAGUAAACUUUUUUUUUUGGAGUACACCUGUAUUCUGUGAUACAGAUGCUUUGUGGUUGCCUUCCCACCACAGUUUGAGGAGUUGAGAGUAGUUGUAGCAAAAGCCUAAAUAUACAUAGCCUAAAAAAUAUACUAUCUGGUUCCUGACCCUUUGUUCUAGAUCUACCCUAACUUAUGAACCAUACCAUAGCUACAGAGAACUCAGAAGCCGUUGGGUUCUCUUUUGGUAAUAAAACAUUUUUUGUUUUUGGGGAGGUUUUCUUGAACUGGGAACCGAACUCAGGGCCUUGCUCUUGCCAGGCAGGCACUGUUCUGAGCUAUAUUCCCGGCAUAAAAUGUAUUUAAAAAUUUUUUUCAAUGUUAAAAUUACCUCUAAUUAAGUAAUUCAGAACUUUCAUACACUUAGAGGUCCAGCGCAGAGGUCUUUAGCCCAGUUGACCCUGACAUGGUUGGAUAUUAGGAGAGGCUUUAACUGCAACUACUGUGUAGUAGCUUCUCUAAUCCAAACCUGAGAAACGAUGGGAGAGUCAGGUGGGAAGGUUGUUUAUAAACUAAUUCGGUGGAAUUCGCAAAAGGAUUUUAUUAUCGACAGAACUUUUUUUGGUAAUUGCUUAUGAGAUGAUUCUUAAGAGUGUCUCUUUUUGAAACAUUUGGAAAUCUACAUUCUAAGUUAUUAUUUUUCUCUACUUUAGUUUCGGUUGUAUAAAUGGCUUCUAGGGCCUGCAAAACAGAAGUUCUUUUGCUUCUUGGUGAGGGAGAGUGAGUAGAACUGAAAACUUGCCUAAUGUAGUUCAGAUAAUAGUCUCCUGUCUGAUCAUAUUUAAAAGAGGUUAAUUGCUUAGCACAUAGUAGAUGCUCAAGAAAUACUUGAUGAUUUAUUGUAUAAAUAUUGCUUCUUUUAACAGAGUUUACCAACUAGUGUUUUGGGUUUAAUAAAGAGUAAAGAUGCAAGUUUUAAUGUGUUAAAUAUUAAUAUUAUGUCUGAAGGUCUAAAUUUUUUUCAGUAAAAAUUUAAUAUGACAAGAUCUUGCAAUCUUUUGUAUUCUCCUUCCCUUUCUGGCAAAUCUCAGUCUGUGUAGUCAAGUUUGAAACCAAUAGGGACAGUUGGGAGGAUUUGAUUUAGUUUCUAAAUCCCCGACCCAAAGACAAACAUAAUUAACCUUGUGUUCUUGGUGGUGAAUAACUGGCUGGUCUUUUUCAAAUCAUUUUAUAGUUAGUUUUUAUGUCUGUGCUAUUUAAGACUCAAACCUGUUGACAUAUAUUCUAUUGAUGAUUGACACUUUUUUUUUUUUUGUACUGGGGCUCGAACUCGGGACCUUGUGCUUGUGUGGCAGGCGCCAGAACCACUGAGCUAAAUCCCCUGCCCUGAUUCACACUUUUUUAAAGACAAUUAUGUUAGUUUACUUUUCAGGGAUGUCUUACAUAAAUAUUUUUCAGAUAUAAAGACAAAUGUUCAAAAAGAACAUUGAAAUCAACUCAUAAUUACCAAGAAUCUUAAUUACAUGAUGGGAAGAAUGAAUUUUCAUUCUAGAGUGUUUUCCAUCUCCCCCUUGGUUUUAAAAUAAGCUAAGUUUUAAAAUAAUACAAAUUACAUUAAUACUAGCCUUUUUUUUUUUUUUUUUUGAGCCAACCAUUUAAAAAUUUAAGAAUUGUUUCUUUGCUUGUGCUCCUCUCUGCCCCUCACAUUUUUCUUUGCUAUUAAAAAUGGGAAAGUUUGCUGAGAGACGUAAGAUGAUUUUAGAGGAGCAUAUCUUCAACCCAAUCUAGAUGAUGAAGCAGUUGCCUACAUUUCAAUUUACAGUGUAUUUUGUAAUGUCCCAGUGUUUUUGGAACAACUUUAGUGAAGUACAAUUUGAAGAAAAGACUCCCAUGCUUAAUUUUAUGUUCUUAGGAAUGUGUGCAGGGUUUGGAGAUUGGAGGAGAUAGCAGUCACUCAUUACCUUGUUACCAUUGAAACUUUUACCUUUGGUAUGGGAUUGUUCUUAGAACAAGAGUAUAUUGGGCUGGGGAUUUAGCCCAGUGGUUCUGUCGCCUGCCUCACAAGCGCAAGGACCCGAGUUCAAUCUCUGGUACCAAAAUAAAAAAAGAGUAUAUUACUUAGAAAGUAUAAACUACUGAGUAUCAAAGUGGGAAAGUUCUAACCAUGUUAUGAGCUUGAACCUCGUGUAAAACAUGAAAUCUAGAUCUGUUUGGCUUUUGGGAUUGUAGAUCAAAGCAUCAUUUCAUCUAUUAAAUAUGUCUUCAGUAAUGCACAAGAAGGAAGUAGAAUAAAGACUUUGAUAUUUACGAUCUACCCAAUCUUUUGGGUAUCCUACUCUUUCUUUUGGGGUUUUUUUUUUUUUUGGUAGAAUGGUUUCAAUGCAAUACUACGUUUAUUAAAUUGGAAAGUGUUUACUAAAUAACUGACCCUGUGACUCCAUGUGUUCUUCAAAGACAGCCUUACUAUUGAAAUUUACAUCAGUUUUGAUUCAGUAAGGGUUAGUGUGAGUCCCAGGCACUUUGGUCAUUGUGGUAUUGGAAGGAUAGUCAGCAUUUGUUGAGAUCUUUCCAUAUGCCUGCUUAAUACAAGCAUUAUGACCAUACUCAUUUAAUGCUCUCUGCUGCCACAGGAGGUAGGUACUACGAUUUUGUUUCACAGAUGAAGAACUGUGGAUGUUAGCAAGAAAAUUUCCAGGCUCACAGAAUUCAUUCCCUUUUUUUUAAACAAAACUUUGCUUAUUUGCAAAUUUAGUUUUGAUAAGAAUUUGGAACUCCAUGAAUGCAAGUGGAUUACUCCUAAAUCCCUCACUGAUCCUGACUGAGCACUUUUGCUUGUUAGGAGAAUUUUUACCCUUGGCUUUGGAUUGGCCUUGUGGGAGUCCAGAGUGACCCUGGCUUAUCAGCAUCCUAAGAGUCAUCUGCUUUUUCUUGUAGCAUUAUUUUUCUAUCCUAUUAAAAACUAUCUUAAGGGCUGGGGAUUUAGCUCUGUGGUUCUGGCACCUGCCUCGCUAGUGCAAGGUCCGGAGUUUGAUCCCCGGUACCAAAAAACCCCCCAAAAACCCAAAACUAUCUUAAAUAUAUGACAGCGUUGACAGAUUUCGUCUUUUCUCAGCUAUUGUGACACACCAGUGCAUUUUUUUGAAUAAUUUUGGAAUGAUUCUAAUAUUAUGAAUUUUUUUUUGAAAUAAUGAUUUUAGAAGGAAAUUUCAUAUAAUGUUCUAGGUCAGUGAUGGCACAUCUUUCAGAGCAUUCAGUGAUCCAUUGUGACACAUGUGCCAUAGCUUUGCCUCCACUAUGAUGGGUAAAAAGUUUAUCUUUUCUCUUAUAGCAGACUAUAAAGCACUGAUGUAUCAUUUCAUAUGCCAAAUUACACUUGUAGCUACCAAAGUGACUAAGUUGGUUAUUAAUGCAUUCCUGUUGUCAUUGUUUAUCAAAAUUAUUUACACCAAUUUCAUUUAAAGGGCAAUCCUGCAUUGUAACAAUAGAGAUUGAGAAUUUGGAUUAUAAGUGACAGUAUUUUUAAAAAAUACCAUAAUUUCUUUUAAGAAAUGAACCAGGCCCAAUGGAAGAUAUUUUACUGAUAGAGGAAAUCAGUGAGUUAUUUAGUUCUCGUGUUAAGACUGGGGAGAAAUUUGCAAAAUCUAUUAAGAAAUAUCAUGCUUUUGAUGUUCAUUGAUAAUUGUGACACUCCUUUUCAGUUAGCGCUGUUUAAUAGGGGUACAGCAGUAUCUUUGGGUAACCAAAUAGUUUAUUAAGUAGAUUUUUGUGUUGUAUGUGCUAGACAAUAUGUGUUGAUUACAAUCAAGGAGACAAAUUAACGUAAAAGCCAAAAUACCCUUAUAUUUACAUUUAUCUCCAAGUUAGUCACUUUGACUAUAUCUCUACAAACUGAAUUGGAGAGUCACAAAAUUCAUCUAGAGAAGACCAGGGUUAAAAGUUGUUUUGCAAUUAUGUUUGAUCAUGUUGAAUCCAGAUUGUUAUUUACUUAGAGAGGUAAAUCACCUGGCUUCAAACUUUGCCCUUCAAUGUAGAUUAUUGAAAAAGAUUUAUUUUUUCUUUGAGGUAUAUGUGAAAUUUGGGCAAUGAGAUUAUUUCAGUUGUAUGUAAUUUCAAAAGCGGUAGCAUUUUAUUUUAUUUUAUUUUUUGGUACCGGGGACUGAACUCGGGUCCUUGGCGCUUGCAAGGCAGGCAGCAUAACCACUAAGCUAAAUCCCUGACCCCAGUGGUAGCAUUUUAUAGUAAAUACCAAAUAAGGCAGGCAGAUAUUUUGGGUUUUUCAUAAUUUUUUCCCUCUGGAGGUUCCAUAUUUUCUGCACUUCUCAGAUAAUACAACUAAAGGUGAUGUCAUCUGUACUGUGUAGGCCUUUGGGUUAGCUGGUCAGAAUGAACAUAUUAGAUGAGAAAAGUAUGCUAUGAUCCAGUGCUUUGUUUUCUAAAAAUCCUUUAAGAUUCUUUCCUAUAUUUAGUUUUCUUUGAGCUUGAAAACUUUCUUGUAUUGAGAUUAAGAAACCACAGUGUUUCUGUAAUUAAGCUUUCCAGGAAUUUUUAAUUUUAAGUUUUGUUUUUGCUUUGCAUAUGUGUGAUUUAAAGAUGCUAGAGUUAAAUAUUAAAAAUUGACUCUUCACUGCCCCUUUUUUAUGGAUACGAAUGUAUCUGACAAGAAAACUUUGUUCCUUUUAUGCAGAUUUUGAUUGGAUCUUUGAGAGUUUGUAAAUGUGUCUGCAUUGCAAGCUUUAAUAUAGUUGAAAGCUGUUAUAGGAUAAAAGUUUGGUGUAUGGUAGAAGAUCUUCAAGAACCCAGUCAGCUUGAAGAGUCUCAAAAGGACCCUACCAGUGAGAAAUCAAGAUGGCAGUCCACUAUGGGGAAUUGAGGAAAAUGGAUUAAUACAAGAGUGCUGUGAUAAAAUACCACCAAGACAGGGUUCUUUUAACAUGGAUUCAGUGAAAUGAAUGAAACCUAUCUUAACCAACAAAUGGACAGUGGAUUUGACUUUGUAAAGACUUGUAUCAUUUAAACUAGUUUAUUUUUGACAUUUGGAGAAGAUGGCACGUUAACACAGAUGGUAGCGUGGAUACCUGAAUUUUUUUUUUGCAUAUUUUGAUUUGUUUGAAUAUGACCUCAUGGAAUGUUAACUUUAAUAAAAUUUCU
rnacentral:lncRNA from 1 species